rfam:Gossypium raimondii Chr10_contig_1375, whole genome shotgun sequence.
UGUUAAAAAUUGUCUAAUUUUAUUGUUUAAAACUAAUAUGGCUGACAGAAUAAUUAAACAGCUACAUUUGGUGUGCAAUGUGUAGCUCAUGCUGAUGUACAAUGAUCAAUUUUUAAUAUUAGAAAUAAAUAAAAUUUUUAAUA